rnacentral:rRNA from 1 species
AUUGAACGCUGGCGGCAGGCCUAACACAUGCAAGUCGAGCGGAUGAAGGGAGCUUGCUCCUGGAUUCAGCGGCGGACGGGUGAGUAAUGCCUAGGAAUCUGCCUGGUAGUGGGGGAUAACGUCCGGAAACGGGCGCUAAUACCGCAUACGUCCUGAUGGAGAAAGUGGGGGAUCUUCGGACCUCACGCUAUCAGAUGAGCCUAAGUCGGAUUAGCUAGUUGGUGGGGUAAAGGCCCACCAAGGCGACGAUCCGUAACUGGUCUGAGAGGCUGAUCAGUCACACUGGAACUGAGACACGGUCCAGACUCCUACGGGAGGCAGCAGUGGGGAAUAUUGGGCAAUGGGCGAAAGCCUGAUCCAGCCAUGCCGCGUGUGUGAAGAAGGUCUUCGGAUUGUAAAGCACUUUAAGUUGGGAGGAAGAGCAGUAAGUUAAUACCUUGCUGUUUUGACGUUACCAACAGAAAAAGCACCGGCUAACUUCGUG